AUUGAUGAAGUGUUUAACACAUUUAACUUCGAAUUAAAAAAUUCCCUGAGACAUUUCAUUA
rnacentral:tRNA from 1 species